rnacentral:rRNA from 1 species
AUUGAACGCUGGCGGCAUGCUUUACACAUGCAAGUCGAACGGUAACAGGCCUUCGGGUGCUGACGAGUGGCGAACGGGUGAGUAAUGCAUCGGAACGUGCCCAGAGGUGGGGGAUAACGCAGCGAAAGCUGUGCUAAUACCGCAUGUGAUCUGAGGAUGAAAGCGGGGGACCAGGCAGCAAUGUUUGGCCUCGCGCCUUUGGAGCGGCCGAUGUCAGAUUAGGUAGUUGGUGGGGUAAAGGCCUACCAAGCCGACGAUCUGUAGCUGGUCUGAGAGGACGACCAGCCACACUGGGACUGAGACACGGCCCAGACUCCUACGGGAGGCAGCAGUGGGGAAUUUUGGACAAUGGGCGCAAGCCUGAUCCAGCAAUGCCGCGUGCGGGAAGAAGGCCUUCGGUUUGUAAACCGCUUUUGUACGGAACGAAAAGGCUCUGGCUAAUACCUGGGGCUGAUGACGGUACCGUAAGAAUAAGCACCGGCUAACUACGUG